rnacentral:lncRNA from 1 species
CAGCCACAUCACCGGACAUCUUGUUGAUCGAUCGACUAGUUAUAUAUUUAGACGGAGAGCUUUAUCUCGCCGCACUUCUCUCUUGGUCUCCGUCUCAAAACUCAAAGAGUAGUUGAAUGAAAUAGCUUGAAAAGCAGAUUAUUUGGUUCUGCUAAUAUUAAAUAUCCAUAAUUUCUUAUUUAAUUAUAUAUAUAAAGUGUAUUUUCUGAAAUGUAUAAGAUGUACCAACCCGCUGGUGCUGCACCAGACGUCCGGCACCUCCGCACCAGCUAGCUCGGUAGAAUUGAAGAAUAUAGUUAAUACUGGUCGAUCUCGUUGAUCAACACCUCAACCAUAACUCUGUACAAGUUAC